rnacentral:rRNA from 1 species
AUUCUAGAGUUUGAUCAUGGCUCAGAUUGAACGCUGGCGGCAGGCCUAACACAUGCAAGUCGAACGGUAGCACAGAGAGCUUGCUCUCGGGUGACGAGUGGCGGACGGGUGAGUAAUGUCUGGGAAACUGCCUGAUGGAGGGGGAUAACUACUGGAAACGGUAGCUAAUACCGCAUAACGUCGCAAGACCAAAGAGGGGGACCUUCGGGCCUCUUGCCAUCAGAUGUGCCCAGAUGGGAUUAGCUAGUAGGUGGGGUAACGGCUCACCUAGGCGACGAUCCCUAGCUGGUCUGAGAGGAUGACCAGCCACACUGGAACUGAGACACGGUCCAGACUCCUACGGGAGGCAGCAGUGGGGAAUAUUGCACAAUGGGCGCAAGCCUGAUGCAGCCAUGCCGCGUGUAUGAAGAAGGCCUUCGGGUUGUAAAGUACUUUCAGCGGGGAGGAAGGCGAUAAGGUUAAUAACCUUGUCGAUUGACGUUACCCGCAGAAGAAGCACCGGCUAACUCCGUGCCAGCAGCCGCGGUAAUACGGAGGGUGCAAGCGUUAAUCGGAAUUACUGGGCGUAAAGCGCACGCAGGCGGUCUGUCAAGUCGGAUGUGAAAUCCCCGGGCUCAACCUGGGAACUGCGUUCGAAACUGGCAGGCUGGAGUCUUGUAGAGGGGGGUAGAAUUCCAGGUGUAGCGGUGAAAUGCGUAGAGAUCUGGAGGAAUACCGGUGGCGAAGGCGGCCCCCUGGACAAAGACUGACGCUCAGGUGCGAAAGCGUGGGGAGCAAACAGGAUUAGAUACCCUGGUAGUCCACGCUGUAAACGAUGUCGACUUGGAGGUUGUUCCCUUGAGGAGUGGCUUCCGGAGCUAACGCGUUAAGUCGACCGCCUGGGGAGUACGGCCGCAAGGUUAAAACUCAAAUGAAUUGACGGGGGCCCGCACAAGCGGUGGAGCAUGUGGUUUAAUUCGAUGCAACGCGAAGAACCUUACCUACUCUUGACAUCCAGAGAACUUAGCAGAGAUGCUUUGGUGCCUUCGGGAACUCUGAGACAGGUGCUGCAUGGCUGUCGUCAGCUCGUGUUGGGAAAUGUUGAGUUAAGUCCCGCAACGAGCGCAACCCUUAUCCUUUGUUGCCAGCGGUCCGGCCGGGAACUCAAAGGAGACUGCCAGUGAUAAACUGGAGGAAGGUGGGGAAUGACGCUCAAGUCAUCAUGGCCCUUACGAGUAGGGCUACACACGUGCUACAAUGGCAUAUACAAAGAGAAGCGACCUCGCGAGAGCAAGCGGACCUCAUAAAGUAUGUCGUAGUCCGGAUUGGAGUCUGCAACUCGACUCCAUGAAGUCGGAAUCGCUAGUAAUCGUGGAUCAGAAUGCCACGGUGAAUACGUUCCCGGGCCUUGUACACACCGCCCGUCACACGGUACCAU